CCCAGAGAGCUUCCUCUUUAUAAGAGGGGCAGGGGUCAAAACUAUAGGCCUUUCCCGGUACUUCUGAGCCGAAGAGCCCAGCAGGUUGUUUCUGGUUAUCACGGCUGACUCACUGUUCUCAGAAUAUUCUAGCAAGUAUUUGGAAAUUUUUACUGGGACCAGGCUGCAGUUUUAUACAUCUCUCCCUUGGGCCCUCUAGAGGAACACACCUGAAACGGAAACAGAGAGUUUUGUUCAAGUCCUCUUUUAUCCUUCAAGGAAAUGCC
rnacentral:lncRNA from 1 species